UGGGGAAGUAUUGGACAAUGGGCGCAAGCCUGAUCCAGCCAUACCGCGUGGGUGAAGAAGGCCUUCGGGUUGUAAAGCCCUUUUGUUGGGAAAGAAAUCCAGCUGGCUAAUACCCGGUUGGGAUGACGGUACCCAAAGAAUAAGCACCGGCUAACUUCGUGCCAGCAGCCGCGGUAAUACGAAGGGUGCAAGCGUUACUCGGAAUUACUGGGCGUAAAGCGUGCGUAGGUGGUCGUUUAAGUCCGUUGUGAAAGCCCCUGGGCUCAACCUGGGGAACUGCAGUGGAUACUGGGCGACUAGAGUGUGGUAGAGGGUAGCGGAAUUCCUGGUGUAGCAGUGAAAUGCGUAGAGAUCAGGAGGAACAUCCAUGGCGAAGGCAGCUACCUGGACCAACACUGACACUGAGGCACGAAAGCGUGGGGAG
rnacentral:rRNA from 1 species